rnacentral:rRNA from 1 species
CCUACGGGUGGCAGCAGUGGGGAAUAUUGGACAAUGGACCGAGAGUCUGAUCCAGCAAUUCUGUGUGCACGAUGAAGUUUUUCGGAAUGUAAAGUGCUUUCAGUUGGGAAGAAAAAAAUGACGGUACCAACAGAAGAAGUGACGGCUAAAUACGUGCCAGCAGCCGCGGUAAUACGUAUGUCACGAGCGUUAUCCGGAUUUAUUGGGCGUAAAGCGCGUCUAGGUGGUUAUGUAAGUCUGAUGUGAAAAUGCAGGGCUCAACUCUGUAUUGCGUUGGAAACUGAAUAACUAGAGUACUGGAGAGGUAAGCGGAACUACAAGUGUAGAGGUGAAAUUCGUAGAUAUUUGUAGGAAUGCCGAUGGGGAAGCCAGCUUACUGGACAGAUACUGACGCUAAAGCGCGAAAGCGUGGGUAGCAAACAGGAUUAGAUACCCUGGUAGUC